rnacentral:misc_RNA from 1 species
GUCCCUUCUUAAAGGUGUGCUAGAUUACUCGGAGUUCAAGCAUGUUGAUAUGGUUAUAGAGGCUGUUAUCGAAAAGAUUCCAUUGAAACAGUCAAUAUUUGUUGACAUUGAAAAGGCUUGUCCCCCACACUGCAUUUUGGCAACCAACACAUCCACUAUCGAUCUAAAUAUUGUUGGAGAGAAGACGAAUUCUCAAGACCGUAUUGUGGGUGCACAUUUUUU